ACACACACACACACACCCCCCAACACACACUCCCUGUCCCCUUUCUCCACCCUGCAAGCUAGUUGCAUUUAGCUCACAGAGCCUGGGCUGCGACUUGAAAGAGUUUAGGCAGCAACAGAGUGACCCUGGGGGUGCUCUUGACCGACAGCCGCACCCCCGGCGUCUAGGACCUCCGAGCAGGGAUGCAUCUGGAGGUCUAGGGAAGCACUUCCACCCCCUCCUCUCCUCAACCCUGGCAGGAUGUGCCCGAAAUGCCAGCUCCUCCUUGGUGUUCUCCUUUCAGGAUUUGAAUUCAAAUCCCAUUGGCAGCCCUGAUACCGCUGGGGGAAGGGUGAGGCUACUGCUGCUUCAAGACAGUGACGUUUCUCUCCGGUCAGCUGUCAGGAGCGCUGGUGAGCUUCCUACUGUGCCACAAGGUGCGGGUGCUGGAGACACAGCUGAGCCUGGAAAUGAGAGUGGGCAUCGCCGUGGUCAUCAUGACUCCUCUGCGGCGUGGUCACCAUCUGGGUCUUACUGGGGAUCUGGCCAGCCUUGGGGGCCCUUGGAGCCCUGGCCCAGUGGAAGCUCGUGCCUGAGGA
rnacentral:sRNA from 1 species